CUUGCUAGAGAUGAUUAGUGGCGGACGGGUGAGUAACAUUUAGGAAUCUACCUAGUAGUGGGGGAUAGCUCGGGGAAACUCGAAUUAAUACCGCAUACGACCUACGGGUGAAAGGGGGCGCAAGCUCUUGCUAUUAGAUGAGCCUAAAUCAGAUUAGCUAGUUGGUGGGGUAAAGGCCCACCAAGGCGACGAUCUGUAACUGGUCUGAGAGGAUGAUCAGUCACACCGGAACUGAGACACGGUCCGG
rnacentral:rRNA from 1 species